AGUGAACGCUGGCGGUAGGCCUAACACAUGCAAGUCGAACGGCAGCACAGUAAGAGCUUGCUCUUACGGGUGGCGAGUGGCGGACGGGUGAGGAAUACAUCGGAAACUACUUUUUCGUGGGGGAUAACGUAGGGAAACUUACGCUAAUACCGCAUACGACCUACGGGUGAAAGCAGGGGAUCUUCGGACCUUGCGCGAUUGAAUGAGCCGAUGUCGGAUUAGCUAGUUGGCGGGGUAAAGGCCCACCAAGGCGACGAUCCGUAGCUGGUCUGAGAGGAUGAUCAGCCACACUGGAGCUGAGACACGGUCCAGACUCCUACGGGAGGCAGCAGUGGGGAAUAUUGGACAAUGGGCGCAAGCCUGAUCCAGCCAUACCGCGUGGGUGAAGAAGGCCUUCGGGUUGUAAAGCCCUUUUGUUGGGAAAGAAAAGCAGCAGGUUAAUACCCCGCUGUUCUGACGGUACCCAAAGAAUAAGCACCGGCUAACUUCGUG
rnacentral:rRNA from 1 species